GAUGAACGCUGGCGGCGUGCCUAAUACAUGCAAGUCGAGCGAACAGACGAGGAGCUUGCUCCUCUGACGUUAGCGGCGGACGGGUGAGUAACACGUGGAUAACCUACCUAUAAGACUGGGAUAACUUCGGGAAACCGGAGCUAAUACCGGAUAAUAUAUUGAACCGCAUGGUUCAAUAGUGAAAGACGGUUUUGCUGUCACUUAUAGAUGGAUCCGCGCCGCAUUAGCUAGUUGGUAAGGUAACGGCUUACCAAGGCAACGAUGCGUAGCCGACCUGAGAGGGUGAUCCGCCACAAUGGAACUGAGAAACGGUCCAGAAUCCUACGGGAGGCAGCAGUAGGGAAUCUUCCGCAAUGGGCGAAAGCCUGACGGAGCAACGCCGCGUGAGUGAUGAAGGUCUUCGGAUCGUAAAACUCUGUUAUUAGGGAAGAACAAAUGUGUAAGUAACUAUGCACGUCUUGACGGUACCUAAUCAGAAAGCCACGGCUAACUACGUG
rnacentral:rRNA from 1 species